UACGGAGGGGGCUAGCGUUGUUCGGAAUUACUGGGCGUAAAGCGCACGUAGGCGGCUUUGUAAGUUAGAGGUGAAAGCCCGGGGCUCAACUCCGGAAUUGCCUUUAAGACUGCAUCGCUAGAAUUGUGGAGAGGUAAGUGGAACUCCGAGUGUAGAGGUGAAAUUCGUAGAUAUUCGGAAGAACACCAGUGGCGAAGGCGACUUACUGGACACAUAUUGACGCUGAGGUGCGAAAGCGUGGGGAGCAAACGGG
rnacentral:rRNA from 1 species